rnacentral:misc_RNA from 1 species
GCGCUUCCACGAAGUGAUGUCCUCUAUGAGACAAUUUCCGAGCCGCAUGGCACAAGAGCCGCUUAACCUUAGCAUGACGUCAACAGGCUGGAUUGUGUGGCGAUGGGCGACUUGGAUACAUUUUCGAGCGGGGAAACGUUGGCGAGGCAGACACUGGUGCUGAGUUGAUUUUGUCUCAGUCGCGUUUCCUACACCAAAAAACCUGGCUAGUUGGAGACUGUUGUUAUGUAUACCACAAAAAAUCGAAUUAGAAUUUUCCCUCACAAAGCACUCCGGAAGCACACCAUGGUUGCUACCAAGAAGAGGGAUUAUUGUGGUAAGGUAC